GGCGACCGGCGCACGGGUGAGUAACGCGUAUCCAACCUGCCCAUGACCGGGGGAUAACCCGCAGAAAUGCGGACUAAUACCCUAUAUAGUCCAACGAUGCCAUCAGAUUUUGGACGAAAGAUUUUAUCGCUCGCGGAUGGGGAUGCGUCUGAUUAGCUUGUUGGCGGGGUAACGGCCCACCAAGGCAUCGAUCAGUAGGGGUUCUGAGAGGAAGGUCCCCCACAUAGGAACUGAGACACGGUCCUA
rnacentral:rRNA from 1 species